CACAGUUUUGGGCCUCACUGUAGCAAAAUAUUGGUUUGUUUGCAUUUUUAUAUUCAAUUUAAUUUUUUGGAAUCUUACUUAGCUGCCAUGUACAUACAUGAUAGCCCUCUAUGAAAUGAAAAGAGAUGCAUGGCUGAAGGUUUUACGUGUUGCAUGUUUACUGCAACAUACUGGAAAGCAGGUUUACUCUAUGUUGGCAUGUUUCAGAGCUAAUCACUGAAUGCACUCCUCUCUAAUUGACUAGGUUUAUUUGCACAUGGUCAUUUUAGCUUGAACCAAACUCUGCACGACAUAAAACAAUGACACUGAGCAGCUUUUUUGCAAGCACUGGCAUACAAGACGGCCACAUGUGUAAUAAUAACAAAAUAAUAAUAUGGAAUACAAACACGCAGCAAAACUGUAUUUACACUGGAGUCAAAAAUGUGAGAAAUGAUGAAUCAUAGAUACUCAAAACUAUCAACUAUAACUCAAAAAGAUGCACAGAAAAUAUUGUAGUGGCGCACAAACACAACAAGCGUUCGUGUAUGAUGUCACAGCUCAUUUUUGCGAUACGCCACUGUUUGCAAAGCACAUGUUAGUCUCAUAUGUAGCUACAGUAUGAAUAUAUAUGCAUAAUAGAAUAUUUAUCAACUUCUGGCUUCAUUCAAAAUCUUUUUACAACAAAAUCACUUUGUUUUCCAAAUAUUUAGCCUAGAGAAGCUUCUGUCGCACAUCCUGCUAGCAAUAAUGCUAAAACACUGGAUCUUUACACUCUUGUUUCUCGUCUAAAGGGUUGAUUUGCUGAUUUGUGUUGAAAAGAUUGUAAUAUUUAGCAUCAUCUGAGGGGAAGUUUUUGCAUCUGUUUUCUUUUUCUGUAAUAUUAGUUUAUACCCCCAAAAAUAUAUAUUUAUACCCAGUAAUACACUGGAGUUUUUUUAUGUGCAAUAAACACUUUCAUGAAUCACUUUUUCAAGAUUUCGCAGCUUGAUUUCAAAGUUACAGCUUUGAUUUGAGCUAUUUUAUUUAUGUUUAUUUUUAUAUAUCACUGCAAAACCCUGUAUUUUGGAUUACAAGCAAACAAUCAAGUAAAUUGCACAGAAACGUAUUAACAAUCAUCACAUCCAAACAAAUAUCAAAUCUGCAGAUAAAUGCAUUAAAUCUCACUGGAACAUCAUUCAUUUCUGCAUGAAGGGAUGAUAUCUGCACUUUAUUUUAACAUAAAGACUCCAAGCCCUUAUAAUAUAUUACCAACCUCUGCAUGAAUGUGUGAGUGCAUAUGAGUGCAUGUAUGCGCCUUUAUCUUUAAUUUAGUAAUUUUAUUUUAUUUAUGUGGCAUUUUUCUGCAUAACAAUCAUAUUGAAGACAGCCAGAAGCAGAAGGUGACCUUUUUUUUUUUGGACUGUUUAAACUGUUAAUAAAACUGCAAACGUUUGCACGUAACACUUUCACUUUUUAUCCCAGUGUUUCACUUUGACUGACAUGUUUUUUAUAGUUUGCACUGUAUAGUUUGUACACCGCAAUACUCUACAGGUGUUUUGAAUGUGUCUGUUAUUUAAAGAUUGAUUUAUUAUAUAUAUAUAUGAUGCAUUUACUUUAGGCGAUGACUUUUG
ensembl:lncRNA